AAAGGGUUAAUGGCAUCCGGACCGAGACAUCCGACUGGUUGGCGGGGUGUCACUCAGCCUCAUCCAUCAAGGCUGGGGCGGAGUCAGGGGCUGUCGUUUCCUCAUCUCUAAAACCUCAGUCACCCUUUCUCCCAGGCCCCCUUCUCGAGGAGUGGUCCCCGUGCCUCCAAGAUGCGCUGUCUGCAAGCCGGUAGUGUUGCGCGCAGGACCGUGACGGCGUGUGGCAACCCCCCUCCCCAGCCUGGCGGGAUCAAGAUUUGUCACAGCUGUGUACCAUUAGUCCUUGAAAAUACCCGUUAGACGCCUCGGAGACGAGAGGUCAGAGGACAAUCUGCGGGAGUCAAGUCUCUCCUUCCUCCUUGCGGGCCCCGGAAUCGAACUCAGUCGAGCUUGGAAGUAAAUGCCUUUACCCCUGAGCCAUCUCGCCGGCCCGAUCGCCGCCCCCUCUUUUGAUUAUUAAAAACUUUAAAGCUCUUC